rfam:Hordeum vulgare subsp. vulgare, WGS project CAJW01000000 data, contig: morex_contig_133537
UAAUUACUCCCUCCGUCCCAAAAAAUUUCUUUUAGUUUUGUCUAGAAAUGAAUGUAUCAAUAUACAAAAAACAUGAAUAUAUACAAUCAUAUCUAGACAAAUCUAAGACAAGAAUUUUGGGACGGAGAGAGUAGAUA